CUGAGUACGGCGGAACACGUGAAAUUCCGUCGGAAUCCGGGAGGACCAUCUCCCAAGGCUAAAUACUCCCUAGUGACCGAUAGUGAACCAGUACCGUGAGGGAAAGGUGAAAAGCACCCCGGAAGGGGAGUGAAACAGUUCCUGAAACCGUGUGCCUACAAGUAGUUAGAGCCCGUUAAUGGGUGAUAGCGUGCCUUUUGUAGAAUGAACCGGCGAGUUACGAUUUGUUGCAAGGUUAAGCGGAAAAAGCGGAGCCGUAGCGAAAGCGAGUCUGAAUAGGGCGCAUAAGUAACAGGUCGUAGACCCGAAACCAGGUGAUCUACCCAUGUCCAGGAUGAAGGUAAGGUAAUACUUACUGGAGGUCCGAACCCACGCACGUUGAAAAGUGCGGGGAUGAGGUGUGGGUAGCGGAGAAAUUCCAAUCGAACUUGGAGAUAGCUGGUUCUCUCCGAAAUAGCUUUAGGGCUAGCCUCGAGGUAAAGAGUCAUGGAGGUAGAGCACUGUUUGGACUAGGGGCCCUUCUCGGGUUACCGAAUUCAGAUAAACUCCGAAUGCCAUGUACUUAUACUCGGGAGUCAGACUGCGAGUGAUAAGAUCCGUAGUCGAAAGGGAAACAGCCCAGACCACCAGUUAAGGUCCCCAAAUAUAUGUUAAGUGGAAAAGGAUGUGGGGUUGCUUAGACAACCAGGAUGUUGGCUUAGAAGCAGCCACCAUUGAAAGAGUGCGUAAUAGCUCACUGGUCGAGUGACCCCGCGCCGAAAAUGUACCGGGGCUAAACAUAUUACCGAAACUGUGGAUGAACCUCUUUAGAGGUUCGUGGUAGGAGAGCGUUCUAAGGGCGGUGAAGUCAGACCGGAAGGACUGGUGGAGCGCUUAGAAGUGAGAAUGCCGGUAUGAGUAGCGAAAGAAGGGUGAGAAUCCCUUCCACCGAAUAUCUAAGGUUUCCUGAGGAAGGCUCGUCCGCUCAGGGUUAGUCGGGACCUAAGCCGAGGCCGAUAGGCGUAGGCGAUGGACAACAGGUAGAGAUUCCUGUACCAGUGCUAAUUGUUUAACCGAUGGGGUGACACAGAAGGAUAGGGAAUCGCACGAAUGGAAAUGUGCGUCCAAGCAGUGAGUGUGAGAAGUAGGCAAAUCCGCUUCUCGCGAAGCAUGAGCUGUGAUGGGGAAGGAAAUUAAGUACGGAAGUUCCUGAUUUCACGCUGUCAAGAAAAGCCUCUAGGAAGAGUAGUACUGCCCGUACCGCAAACCGACACAGGUAGAUGAGGAGAGAAUCCUAAGGUGAGCGAGAGAACUCUCGUUAAGGAACUCGGCAAAAUGACCCCGUAACUUCGGGAGAAGGGGUGCUCUAUUAGGGUGCAAGCCCGAGAGAGCCGCAGUGAAUAGGCCCAGGCGACUGUUUAGCAAAAACACAGGUCUCUGCAAAACCGUAAGGUGACGUAUAGGGGCUGACGCCUGCCCGGUGCUGGAAGGUUAAGAGGAGUGCUUAGCUUCGGCGAAGGUACGAAUUGAAGCCCCAGUAAACGGCGGCCGUAACUAUAACGGUCCUAAGGUAGCGAAAUUCCUUGUCGGGUAAGUUCCGACCCGCACGAAAGGCGCAACGAUCUGGGCACUGUCUCAACGAGAGACUCGGUGAAAUUAUAGUACCUGUGAAGAUGCAGGUUACCCGCGACAGGACGGAAAGACCCCGUGGAGCUUUACUGCAACCUGAUAUGGAAUGUUUGUACCGCUUGUACAGGAUAGGUAGGAGCCGAAGAGACGUGUGCGCUAGCAUACGAGGAGGCAAUGGUGGGAUACUACCCUGGCUGUAUGACCAUUCUAACCCGCCACGCUUAGCG
rnacentral:rRNA from 1 species